UUUACACAAUGUAAAUUACAAUGUAUAGAUGCUUUGAGGUUUAAGUCAUUGAAAUUUGGAGGUAUUGGGAUUUUUAUGUUGUCCCAUGUACAUUAUGUAAUUUAAUGAUGGUCCAUAACUAGCCCCAUAGAAAUCCAAAGUCAACCUGAAUUUAUCACAGGCAUUACAAUAGGGUCUUGUGCAGCUGCACUCCAAAUUGAUGAUUUAAAGCCAAUUUACACUUGAUCUGAAAAUGUGGUGGAGGCUUUGUAUGGAGAGUGUGACACAAUUGCAGUGCCAAAUCAAGCUCCGUACUGCAUUUGCAUUGCCGUGCAUCUCUCAAAUCUUGUAAUAAUGUGGAGGGCUCCGCAUUGACAUGAUUGCUUGGUGGGGGUGGGAGGUUCUGUGUAAACACACUCACCUUGUGAUGCGCAAAAAGUAUGUUUGUUCUAAUUUCUGCGGAGGUCCCAUCGCAGUAAAUGCUGUACUACCACUGCAGAUGUCAGAUUGACCAUGCAGAGCUUUUAAUUUGUGUGCUGCCAGCUGUGGGCAGGAUUGAAACAAACCCAACCUUCAUUUACGUUGUGAUGCAGUCACUACCACAAAACUCUUGUUUUGGAAAAGACUGACUUUAUCACCAAAAUGAUCCUAUUUACACAUUGUAGGACAUUUUGACAGAAUAAUAAAUGUUGACUCAUACUGUAGAUGUCACACCCCGUUUUCUAAAUGAGAAAUUGUUUUAUUAGGGGUAGUUUCUCUUUAACGGUUGGCUCUUGCGUAGGCACCAAUGUGAGGGAGUUAUUUUACACUGGCCUGGUUUUUUAAUCCAGGCUCUUCACGUCAUCGGGCGAAAGCGGGGGGGGAGGAGUACCCUUCUCAAAUCAAACAGUAAUCUGCACCAGUCGGUCAUGUCAACAAGCAUGCUCUCAUCGUCCAGAAUCUCUUUUCCAUGAAAUAAAUGUGAUAAUUUGAGACAGUGUUUUUAUAACAAAAUGUAUCAUAUUCACUACAUAUGCUUAAUUACUUUUGUUUUGAGACUACUUUGCCGUCGGACGGAGCAGGCACCUGGAUCACGCCCAGGAGGCAGACCGAUUCCAAAUCAAAUGCAAUCAUUUUCCAGAUGAUGCAAAACACACCUACACAGGUGUGAUUAAUCAAACCCCCUCAUUAGCAGCUGGGUCUGGCCUGUUUAGCUAAUUGACUGUAUAUGAACCAGAAAAAAAAGGAGCGAGUGUGACGUCUCGCUUCGUCUUCUGCCUCUGGUAUUAUCCCGGCCAGGGCACAAAAAAUCCUGAUUCCACUAAUCACCUCACCUCCUUACACCAAACCAAUUAGCUGAUCAGCUAAGGACGCCCUGACUGCUGAUUGAUGACAUGAAGUGGUUGUGAGAGUAAUGGCAUUGUGGCGUCUGUCUGUUUGAAGGCUAUUUUCUAGAGCUUGGCAGAAGCCCCACCUGACUCCUCUGGAGAGAAGCUGAUGGAGGGCUGAGUGAGGACUGCUUGGUGGGCACAUAAUUCACAUACACUACUGUUAAGAGCACCAAGCCCACACAUUUAGAUCUGUCUCGAGAAGAAGCAGAUUAUGGUGGACCGGAGGGACCAAGGAAACUAGAAGCCUAAGAAGAUGACCCCUAUCACUUCUGGCAUCUUGUCGACAGCAAGUUCAUCUUCUGCUCCCAGUCAUUGAAGUUCAUCAACAGCGACGGCGUGUGAUCGGAAAGCAGACUGUGCCAGUAAAGAGGCUGAGCUCACCUGUAUCCAGCCAAACAGCCAAUGCCACCUUCCCAAGCAAAACCCACAGCACCCACUCCACUGUCUGUUUUAUCUUCUCUCUAUCAUCAUCCUCUCAUCUCACCAUACCUCUCUCUGCCUCUACCUUCUCUUAAAGAGCCAAUCUGCAGUUGCUACAUACAUUUUUGGACUUAUAAAUGAACAAGAUAUAUAUAUAUAUAUGAUUCUUGAAGAAUGUAAUUUAUCAAUGCCUCGUAAACUGAGUUUAACUGUUUUACCCCAUCCGAACAUAAUAUACUUUGGCUUAAAACAAGCUUAAUCUUUGUCAACAAAGUAAAUAUACACAAACAUAUAGUCUUAACAUGGUUCAAAAUACAAUUUUGAUAUCAUGGAGGUCAGCCCCAUCCCUCAGCUUUUUACUGAAACGGGUGGGGAAUUGGCUUUGUUAUUGUUUCAACUGCCGAUUGCCUCUAACUCAUCCUCUUUCUCUGCUCAGUGUGGUUGAUGGAGGGCAAAGUGGAUGUGUGUCAGGUGAAGCUCCUCCACCAUUACACACAGGCCUACAAAAUGUCUAACUUUAGGUGACAGUGGGGGUCCCCUUGUGUUCCUAUCCUGGUUUUGGCAGCUGGUGGGGGUGGUGAGCUGGGGGGUGGGCUGUGCCCGCCGGGGCACCCUGGGGUCUACUGCAGAAAGUACUACUGAAAAUCCAGUUUCUCUCAGCGGUAACUACUGAAAACUGACUGGUAUUCUCUCUCGAUGAGCGCUGAGUGGUUCUGGAAAACAUUCACACAGUCAAAAGACAUACACACUGCACUGACUUACAAUACUGACCUGUAAAGUUUCUUUGUGUUCUUAUUUUAUAUUAUCUUAGAGAUGUAAGUACUUUAGGAGUUAUGUAUUUCAUUUUUUACUAAUAUUUUAUGGUUGAUUAAUGAUUUGUCCAAUUUUGACAGGCAAAAAAAAGACAAUGUACUGUUAUAUACAAAAGUUUAUUGGAUUCUUGUGGCUUUUUAUAAUAAAUAAUAUUUGAGCAGAUAUGCAUGAUGGAAAGAUUACAUGGGAGGCAUCAUUUGAGGGAAUAGGAGAAACAUGGCUGUACAUUCAUAUUAGUUGGAAGAUGAAUGUGGGACUAAGGGGUCAGUAAUGUCUGGGUACAUUAUAGAUUCAAACAUUCUGUUGUCUUAAGUGCAAUAAUGGAUGAGGUCACUAUUUCCGCGACUACAACUUGGCACAACAAAGUGUUCUCAGAAUUUCCAAACCACAAAGAUUGAACUUUUGCUUCACCUAUCCAGUUUUCAGUACAGUUGUCAAAAUAAAGGGAACAAGGAAGACAGUUGGUACUAGGUCAUCCAGAACUGUGUAAGGGCAUUUCAACAGAACACGUGAGUCACUUUCACAGUUCGGCUUUGUUUAGAGGUUAUACAUGUAACAUUUCCACCUGCAACUAGCGCCAAAUGUCAAUUACAUACCAGUAGAAGCAAAGGAAUAGGAAUCACAAGAAUAAAAUCUACUUUUUAGAAAGCUGCGUGACGCUGCAAAUUAGUUGUGUACAACUUCCUGCAUUACGAUUGGUUCUCGUUUGUGAGGUUGACAACAAUAGCAAGAACAUUAGCAGUACAAAUCUUUUUCGGAUUGUGAUACGGUAAGCUGUACUAUGUCAUUUGUAAGCAGUCGCCUUUAAAAAAAAAAACAUGAUGCAAUUGGAUUUAUGGCUUACAUCUUACAUGUUGCUCCUUGAAAUUACACUGUAUAUUGCAUAGCUCCAUAGGUUCUAACAUUCAGGAACCUUUGAAGGUCUUUUAACACAUCACAACAGACCUACACUUGACAUGAGAGAAGAUACAACUAUGUGCCUUCCAAACAUUGACAAAAAAGGGCCACAUACUGUAGUAACAGAAAAAAGAGGCUAGCUUCCCAGAGUGAGAAGGGAAAGCUUAUACAUCAGUGCAUUACAGGCAAAAUAAGUAUUCAAAUCUGAGCAGAAAGGUCUGCACUAUGUACUUCUCCUUUGUACUUAAUUGAUUGGCCAGAAUCUCUAUACAGGUGAUUUCACAGGUCUGAACCAGACAGUCUCCGUUUAAAAACAAUGAAAACUAGCAGUGCUGCAGACCUCAAGGACUGAAUAGCCUUGCACUAUAAGCCUAUGUUCCUCAUCUACCCUGGAUCAACUCCAUAUCUCAUAUGCCACUUUGAUUACUGUUGCUCUUGUCAUUUUUAUUGCUUACAUUAUCACAGUAAAAGGAACUCAAAAUGGUUUAUUGGAAUCCUGCAGUAGCUACAGUAUAGUUAUGUUGAUGUGAUGUCAGGGCAGCUUUGCGAAAGCAAAUCCCAUUGAGGGAACUGCAGCAGCCUGUCCUACAGUGCGUGGAUGUCUUCCUCUCCGUAGUGGUGUUUGUGUUUGCAUAGUAUCACUGUUAUCUUAGGAGAGUAUGAAUCAGCCAGGGAUUCAGUGCCACAAGCUCAAAGCCAUGUCCAACCAGAGAUAGUACAUGUACUACUGUCAAUGGCCAAACCAUGGUGUCGGUCUGUUCUCAUCUAAGACAGCAAAGAUCAUUCAUUCAACUUUACCCUCAUGUUAAAUAUACAUUUAGGUUCAUUCACUCACUGCUCCACCGAUACAACACAUCUCUGUUUACACACAUGUCUAGCACAGCCGAAGAAUAUACAUAUCUACGGUAAAGUGCCCAAAAUAUCCUCCUGCUAUUGCUACAAGCCAGUGCAUUUAUUUGAAGGGCUAUGCUAUGGGAACAGCAACACCAGGGGUUGUCCACAUUAGAAACAGGUUCAGCAAGUGAUUGAGGGAGGUAUAUUUGUUAUGUUUAUACAAUGACAGAUUCAGCAAGGUCCUGGACAAUGGACAUAGACGUGAAUUUCUUCCCUGAACAUGGUUUUUCCACAAUUUUGUCACACACUGGAAGUAUCUUCAAAACAACUAUUGUAUCUUGACAUUGUAGUUCACUAGCAAUGUGUUUCCAUUGCUAGUCAAUGACAUUCCAUUCCUGAUCAGAUAUGGAUUUUCUCCCAGUCCAUUCCUGAUCAGACAUGGGUUUCUCAGGGUUAUCCUAGUCCAUUCCUGAUCAGACGUGGGUUUCUCAGGGUUAUCCCAGUCCAUUCCUGAUCAGACAUGGGUUUCUCAGGGUUAUCCCAGUCCAUUCCUGAUCAGACGUGGGUUUCUCAGGGUUAUCCCAGUUUGGCAAAAUAAAUGGGCUGAAUAUGAGAUAUUAGUUGUGUGUCUAUUCUACACUGUCUAGUAAAGAUCGGUUCCAGUCUUUCACGCUACCUGCAACCUAAAUGCU